GGCAGCUCCAGAGAAGAUGACAAGAAAUGAAAUUGGUAUUGAGAUUGAAAUGUUUCUAAAGCCCUAAAACCUCUCGUUCUCUUUCUGUUUCUCCCUCAAAAAAUUUUUACAAUACAAGAAAAUGGCGACGCUUCAGGUUCAACUUCAACUAUCAAAUCCCAAUACAUCGUCUCCUUCAUUGUCCACUCCAAUUCCCCACAAGCUAUUUAUUUCCCGGAGAACUGAACGAAGUUCCAAACGAUACCGUUCUGGUUCGUGUUCUGGGUCUGUAAGCUGCUCAUUUGCCCCAAUGGAGUCUGCGAAGAUAAAGGUCGUGGGUGUCGGUGGCGGUGGCAAUAAUGCCGUUAAUCGCAUGAUUGGAAGUGGUUUGCAGGGUGUUGAUUUCUAUGCCAUAAACACCGAUUCUCAAGCACUAUUACAGUCUGCUGCUCAGAACCCACUUCAAAUUGGAGAGCUUUUGACUCGUGGACUAGGCACUGGUGGGAGUCCUCUUUUAGGAGAGCAGGCUGCAGAGGAAUCAAAAGAAGCCAUUGCGAAUGCUCUUAAGGGCUCAGAUCUUGUUUUUAUAACAGCUGGUAUGGGUGGAGGCACAGGCUCUGGUGCUGCACCAGUUGUAGCCCAGAUAUCAAAGGAGGCAGGGUAUUUGACUGUUGGUGUGGUCACCUAUCCUUUCAGUUUUGAGGGCCGUAAGAGAUCCCUGCAGGCAUUAGAGGCUAUUGAAAAAUUACAAAAAAAUGUUGAUACUCUAAUAGUGAUACCCAAUGACCGCCUGCUUAAUAUUGCUGAUGAGCAGACACCCCUUCAGGAUGCCUUCCUUCUUGCUGAUGAUGUUCUACGCCAAGGAGUGCAAGGAAUUUCGGAUAUUAUUACAAUUCCUGGAUUGGUUAAUGUGGAUUUUGCAGAUGUAAAAGCAGUUAUGAAAGAUUCCGGUACUGCAAUGCUUGGAGUUGGAGUUUCCUCCAGCAAAAAUCGUGCAGAAGAAGCAGCUGAACAAGCAACCUUGGCACCACUGAUUGGAUCAUCAAUUCAGUCAGCUACUGGAGUAGUUUAUAACAUUACUGGAGGAAAAGACAUAACGUUGCAGGAAGUGAACAGAGUAUCCCAGGUUGUUACAAGCUUAGCUGAUCCAUCUGCAAAUAUAAUAUUUGGUGCUGUUGUGGACGACCGCUAUAAUGGAGAGAUUCAUGUGACCAUCAUUGCAACUGGUUUCUCCCAGUCAUUCCAGAAGACACUUCUAACAGACCCCAGGGCUGCAAAACUGGUAGACAAAAUGGCAGGGAACCAAGAAGGCAGGGCAGUUCCGCUCCCUCUCAAGCCUGCAACCUCACCUUCCACGGUUCCUUCUAGACCAUCUCCAAGAAAGCUCUUCUUUUGAUUAUUUUUUCUCUCCCCUUUUUUUCGGUUUUUGUUUUGUGGAGAUAGAGAUGGGGGAGAAUGCUUUCUCCUGCGCCAAAUUCACCUUUGUAUUGAUUGUGAGGUUAAAUCCAUAUCAGAUGGUUUUGUUGUCUCUUGCGUAUCAACGGGCAUACGCAAAUUUGUCCGUUAUUAUAGCCAUGACUGAAAAUUUAUGGAUAAAAAAUAAUAUUAAAAAAACUUCAAAUUGCGC
rnacentral:misc_RNA from 1 species